GUCUUCAGAGGCAGUGUAGGUGAGCGGUUCAAAACAACAGUACUUGGAGUUCAAAUUAAGACUCUCGAUCCCCUUCACCGUCUGACAUAUUAUUGAAAAAAUAAAAUCGCUAAUGAACAAAAUAUGUAGAGAGAGGAUUCAACCAGAACGACGAAUAAAACCAAAUACAGAAAACGCAAAGAGGAACCAAAUAACAUGAGCUGAGAGUAACAAAAUGUUGCAAAAAAGGCAGCGUGAAAAAGGAUUAUUAGCUUUAUGGGAAAGGUUGUUAUGAGUAAUGUUUACGGAAGAAAUGCGUUUUCAGUGCACGUUUAAAAGAUUCAAUAGCGGGUAGGUGGCGGACAUGGAAAGGGAGAGAGUUCCAUUGUUUCGCGGCAUAAAAGAUACAUAAUCUUCCUGACAGUUUUAUGAUUUAUCGGUAGUAUUUUUUUAUUUAUUUUUUGGGGGGGGGGCUUUACUUAUUGUAACACGUCAUUUAACAGGCUUUCUGCGCUGACAAGACUAGCCAAGAACCGCUGCAGAAAAGUGUGGUGCAGGGCUGCAGCGAUUCGUCAUUUACGCUAGAGAGAAAACGUACAAACGUAUGUACGUGCAUGGUGAUCACUGCACCAACCCCGCGGCUGGGCUCGCCGCCGCUCCCAGGUGGGGUGGCCAUUAAAUGCUGUGAUGAAUGAUGUUUACCGCAAUAAAAUGCUCAUGCCUGGCAAAGUCAUCCAUGCACAACCCAGUGCAAAGGCAUCUAGGACAUCAACUACAAAAAAAGAAACUUCUUGCAAAUCAUUAAAGAUGCAGUAGCUGCGGUUUCCUGGAUGGAUAUACACUCUUGCUGAAUCUUCUGUUUAACACCUGGAUGCUGCAUAUGUCAACUCAUUCUCAUAAAAUUUGAAUUGUAAAGCAAGAAAUAUCCUACUCCCUUAGCAGGCUAUGUGCCUAACCUCUAUGGGACAUAGAAAAGAAUAAGCUAACAGAUGACAAGGUAGACUACGUACCCACAGUUUAGUAUUAAGCUAAGUGAAACAAUAAAAGUCUGUUUAAAAUGACAUCUUCUGGCACAACUGGAAACAGAAUUCUGUUUUGUAGAGUAUAAAUAUGAACAACUUCUGAUCAUCCUUAUGGGUCCUUGCUAAUACAUGUAUAUGUGAGCAAAAUGUACAAUUCCAUAUUUCUCUUGGUUAUUUAAAUCAACAGAUUAUUAUGAGGAGGGCCUAAGGUGCAACACCACAGCUGCAAGUUUUAGCUAG